rnacentral:rRNA from 1 species
CAGGUCACUCCUACGGGAGGCAGCAGUGGGGAAUAUUGGACAAUGGGCGCAAGCCUGAUCCAGCAAUGCCGCGUGUGUGAAGAAGGCCUUCGGGUUGUAAAGCACUUUUAUCAGGAGCGAAAUACUACUGGCUAAUAACCGGUGGGGCUGACGGUACCUGAGGAAUAAGCACCGGCUAACUUCGUGCCAGCAGCCGCGGUAAUACGAAGGGUGCAAGCGUUAAUCGGAAUUACUGGGCGUAAAGCGUGCGUAGGCGGUGAGUUAAGUCUGUUGUGAAAUCCCCGGGCUCAACCUGGGAAUGGCAAUGGAUACUGGCUCGCUAGAGUGUGAUAGAGGAUGGUGGAAUUCCCGGUGUAGCGGUGAAAUGCGUAGAGAUCGGGAGGAACAUCAGUGGCGAAGGCGGCCAUCUGGAUCAACACUGACGCUGAGGCACGAAAGCGUGGGGAGCAAACAGGAUUAGAUACCCUGGUAGUCCACGCCCUAAACGAUGCGAACUGGAUGUUGGUCUCAACUCGGAGAUCAGUGUCGAAGCUAACGCGUUAAGUUCGCCGCCUGGGGAGUACGGUCGCAAGACUGAAACUCAAAGGAAUGACG